AUGCCACCGCUGCCGGCUCCAAGUUCCCACCAAACCCCACUGCCGGUGCUGUCCAUCACCGAUAUCCUGGAUGUGCUGCUCGAGGAAAUCUUCCUCCGCAUCCCCACCGCCGCCGACCUCGCCUGCGCCUCCAUCGCUCGCGCUUCCUUCCACCGCAUCAUCUCCGACUACUCCUUCCUGUGACGAUACCGCGCACUCCACCAUCUGCCUCUCAUCGGCAUGCUCUUCGUCCCAGCCCAGCCGCCGCACCCCUCCGCCGUCCCCGCCCGCGCCCUCGUCGGCUUUGACUUCUCCCGCUCCUCCCUCCUGCCAUCCUCUGCCGACCGUUCCUGAUGUCCAAUUAACUUCUUUGACGGACUCGCCCUCCUCGCCGGCGCCCCGGUCGAGGAAAAAAGCGGCAGACGCAUCCUCGUUGGCUCCGCCGAGAUAUGCGACUGGGAGCACCACAAUUUUUUGGUCAGGGACCUUGCCGCGUGCGACCCCGUGCAACGCUGCUACGUCCUGCUGCCCACAGUCCCCGGCAAUCUGAUCACUAGGCCGGAUCUCCUCAGUCUGGAAACGUUCCUUGCUCGCGACGAGGAUGACAAGGACCCUUUAUCAUUCAGGGUGCUAUGCCUCGUGGAAUGCAGAAUGAAUCUUCUGCUUCUCGUCUUCACCUCUUUGCAUGGACUAUGGCAUGUUCUCACUUACAAUCAAUGGAGUGCUGAUUCUACAUUGAGAUGCUUCAUUUCGAAACUACGAGUUUGGGCUAUCAAGCGUUAUUUCAUCCACGGGCAUUUCUAUUGGCAUUUGCAUUUCCAGAGCGAGUUGCUUGUGCUUGACGUGUGCACAAUGGAGUUCUCUGCUGUCGACCUGCCACCUGAACAACUUGGGAAUAGCAGUUUUCUCAUUGUGGAGACGCCGGAAGGAACGCUCGGGAUGCUCACUCGAGGCUUUGAUUAGGAUAGUGAUGAUGACCGAUAUUGGCUCACAUAUUCCAUUAUGAGAAAUAACCAAUGGCACUUUGAGAAGAUCAUCUGGUUGCCGGUAAAGCGUGCGAUUCUGGUUGGUGUCACUGGGGUAUACCUGAUCAUAGAAGCGGUGUACACCACAUCUUCACACGAUGAGCCGAAGUCUGGAUACUUUUCAGUGGACUUGAAGAUAUUGCAGGUGGAGUUGUUUGCUGCACCUAGCAAACCCAUCUAUCCUUGUUGAUUAUAUGCUGGUUUCCCACCAUCAUUGUCUGCACCUACUAUAUGA
rnacentral:rRNA from 1 species